ensembl:lncRNA LINC01643 long intergenic non-protein coding RNA 1643
AGUGUCAGAAACAGGCAGCCUGACUAGAGAACAAACUACCAAUUAACGAGCGAGGAAACAGGGCCAGAGAAUUGGAACAAAAUACAAGGCUGCCUCUGAAAGGAAUAUCUUUGUGCUGAUGUGUCCAUCAAGAGAACAUACACAGAAGUGACACUUGCCAGUAAUUUGCAAGCAGAUGGAACUUCAAUAUGGCAAUAGAGAAAGAAUCAAUUAGACCAGAGUCUCCUCAGGAAGACUUUCUAUAGGUGGACGGUCCCCUGGAGAGCCCGCUGUGUUGGAAGAUGUAGAAUAUUCAUAUAUCUGGUGAGCAUCUGCUAGAUGCCAGGGUUGGGGAGAGUCAAGUUGAAGCAAGCAUGAACCCUCAAGGACCUACCAUUUCAAGGCAAGAAAUAGAUACAAAUACAGAAAAUAUUUACUGGAUAGCUACUAGACAUAAGGAUGCAGAAAUGAAUUAGAAAAAUUCCUCGCCCUUGUUCAAAGCUAUGCUGGCUCUUAGAACAUCUGAGCCCCCACUGUUUCAUCUUUAGAGGAUCCCAGCUGCUGGGGUGUGAGGCCAGUGCUGGAGCCAGCAGUCUCUGACCCAGAAGGGACCUGAGGUGCUAAAGAAAAGGGUACAAGCUGGAAAAGGGGAAAAUGAAUCAUGCUACAGGCCAAGUGUCCAUCACUGAUUCCCAGAGAUGCCCUUUGUGUGGUAGGCACUUCCAUGUGGACUCGCUACAGAGGUACAUGCAUAGGUCCAAGAUAGGCGUCCCUCAGCUCAUGGCCUAUAUUCCAGCUUGUAGACUUUUGCUAAGGAUGACCCCUCACCAGUAACCAGCUCUGGUCCCAAGCUCCUGGCUGCAGUCUUUAGUGUCCACAAACCCACAGAGGCUCAUCAUCCUCAACUGUGGGAGUGCACCUUUUCCUGCUGGUUCCUCCUCGUUGCCCUGGUAUUUCUCCAAAUGUUGUUCUCCCUCUGCUCAAAUAGGCAUGGAGCAGGGGCAGAUCAGAAAGUAUGAUGUCCAGCCAUCCUCCAACCAAAGAACAAAGUGCUAGACUAUCAUCAUUGCACGUACCCCCAGUCUCUACUGGGGAUGCCUAAGAGUCUUCCUUUCAUGUUGUGAAAUGAGGAGUGACUCUUCUGCUCCCAUUGUGGGGAGGAAGGGAAUAAAUAGACCCCCACACAUGUCAUUGUCCUGCUGAUAUCCUAGAAUUCCAUCUCUUCCUCCAGUCAUUCAUCUACUUAUAUAGAAUGAAGGUUUGGGGGUUUUAGCCUCCCCUUGAUACCCUGAAGGGGGUGUGUGUGGCCUCCUAAUACUCUCAUUUUCCUUUAGAAUGUGGGUGACUAGAGGCUACUUUGCCAUUUGCUUUGAGUUUUAGUAGCUAAUUCUGGGUUAACAGUGAAAGUCCUAUUUGAUAUCCUGCUACUCUUGUUACUUUAACCUAAUUAGAUAUUAUAUAAGUUGAUAAAAUGUGCAUGUACGAGGAAAUAGAGCAGUGUCUCCAAGAAACUAAGUGAAAUUAGUUGGAGAAGCUUGAAAAAGCUAAGUUAUUUAAAAAUGCUGUGCCAUCAGAUGUAUGUGAGGUAAUACUAAGCAGUUGGAAAACAAUGGUAAAAUGGGAAGUGAUUGUUCACUCA